rnacentral:rRNA from 1 species
CCUACGGGUGGCAGCAGUGGGGAAUAUUGCACAAUGGGGGGAACCCUGAUGCAGCAACGCCGCGUGGGUGAAGAAGUACUCCGGUAUGUAAAGCCCUGUCAGCAGGGAAGAAAAUGACGGUACCUGACCAAGAAGCCCCGGCUAACUACGUGCCAGCAGCCGCGGUAUUACGUAGGGGGAAAGCGUUAUCCGGAUUUACUGGGUGUAAAGGGAGCGUAGACGGCAAGGCAAGUCUGGAGUGAAAGCCCGGGGCCCAACCACGGGACUGCUUUGGAGACUGUGUUGCUGGAGUGCAGGAGGGGUAAGCAGAAUUCCUAGUGUAGCGGUGAAAUGCGUAGAUAUGAGGAGGAACACCGGUGGCGAAGGCGGCUUACUGGAAUGGAACUGACGUUGAGGCUCGAAGGCGUGGGGAGCAAACAGGAUUAGAUACCCGUGUAGUC